rnacentral:rRNA from 1 species
GACGAACGCUGGCGGCGUGCUUAACACAUGCAAGUCGAACGGUGAAGGGACCGGGUUUUGCUGGUUCUGGAUGAGUGGCGAACGGGUGAGUAACACGUGAGUAACCUGCCCCCUUCUUCUGGAUAACCGCAUGAAAGUGUGGCUAAUACGGGAUAUUCUGCGCCUGCUGCAUGGUGGGUGUGGGAAAGAUAUUGUUUCGGUGGGGGAUGGGCUCGCGGCCUAUCAGCUUGGUGGUGGGGUGAUGGCCUACCAAGGCGGUGACGGGUAGCCGGCCUGAGAGGGUGGACGGUCACACUGGGACUGAGACACGGCCCAGACUCCUACGGGAGGCAGCCGUGGGGAAUAUUGCACAAUGGGCGCAAGCCUGAUGCAGCGACGCCGCGUGAGGGAUGGAGGCCUUCGGGUUGUAAACCUCUUUCGCCAGUGAAGCAGGCCUGUCCCUUUUGUGGGUGGGUUGACGGUAGCUGGAUAAGAAGCGCCGGCUAACUACGUG